AACCCAUGAUGAGGGCACCGCCUCAAUAGAUCUUUGUAUCUCUCCCAUGCAUCAUAUAAAGUCUCUACAUCGAUCUGAACAAAGGAAGAGAUGUCAUUCCUCAACUU
rfam:Gossypium hirsutum cultivar TM-1 chromosome 11, whole genome shotgun sequence